GGGAGGCAGCAGUGGGGAAUAUUGCACAAUGGGCGGAAGCCUGAUGCAGCAACGCCGCGUGCGGGAUGACGGCCUUCGGGUUGUAAACCGCUUUCGCCUGUGACGAAGCGUGAGUGACGGUAAUGGGUAAAGAAGCACCGGCUAACUACGUGCCAGCAGCCGCGGUGAUACGUAGGGUGCGAGCGUUGUCCGGAUUUAUUGGGCGUAAAGGGCUCGUAGGUGGUUGAUCGCGUCGGAAGUGUAAUCUUGGGGCUUAACCCUGAGCGUGCUUUCGAUACGGGUUGACUUGAGGAAGGUAGGGGAGAAUGGAAUUCCUGGUGGAGCGGUGGAAUGCGCAGAUAUCAGGAGGAACACCAGUGGCGAAGGCGGUUCUCUGGGCCUUUCCUGACGCUGAGGAGCGAAAGCGUGGGGAGCGAACAGGCUUAGAUACCCUGGUAGUCCACGCUGUAAACGGUGGGUACUAGGUGUGGGGUCCAUUCCACGGGUUCCGCGCCGUAGCUAACGCUUUAAGUACCCCGCCUGGGGAGUACGGCCGCAAGGCUAAAACUCAAAGGAAUUGACGGGGCCCCGCACAAGCGGCGGAGCAUGCGGAUUAAUUCGAUGCAACGCGUAGAACCUUACCUGGGUUUGACAUGGAUCGGGAGUGCUCAGAGAUGGGUGUGCCUCUUUUGGGGUCGGUUCACAGGUGGUGCAUGGCUGUCGUCAGCUCGUG
rnacentral:rRNA from 1 species